rnacentral:rRNA from 1 species
GAUGAACGCUGGCGGCGUGCCUAAUACAUGCAAGUCGAGCGAACGGACGAGAAGCUUGCUUUUCUGAUGUUAGCGGCGGACGUGUGAGUAACACGUGUAUAACCUACCUAUAAGACUGGGAUAACUUCGGGAAACCGGAGCUAAUACCGGAUAAUAUUUUGAACCGCAUGGUUCAAAAGUGAAAGACGGUCUUGCUGUCACUUAUAGAUGGAUCCGCGCUGCAUUAGCUAGUUGGUAAGGUAACGGCUUACCAAGGCAACGAUGCAUAGCCGACCUGAGAGAGUGAUCGGCCACACUGGAACUGAGACACGGUCCAGACUCCUACGGGAGGCAGCAGUAGGGAAUCUUCCGCAAUGGGCGAAAGCAUGACGGAGCAGCGCCGCGUGAGUGAUGACGGUCUUCCGAUCGUAAAACUCUGUUAUUAGGGAAGAACAUAUGUGUAAGUAACUGUGCACAUAUUGACGGUACCUAAUCAGAAAGCAACGGCUAACUACGUG